CGUAGUCGAUGGGAAACAGGUUAAUAUUCCUGUACUUGGUGUUACUGCGAAGGGGGGACGGAGAAGGCUAUGUUGGCCGGGCGACGGUUGUCCCGGUUUAAGCGUGUAGGCUGGUUUUCCAGGCAAAUCCGGAAAACCAAGGCUGAGGCGUGAUGACGAGGCACUACGGUGCUGAAGCGACAAAUGCCCUGCUUCCAGGAAAAGCCUCUAAGCAUCAGGUAACAUCAAAUCGUACCCCAAACCGACACAGGUGGUCAGGUAGAGAAUACCAAGGCGCUUGAGAGAACUCGGGUGAAGGAACUAGGCAAAAUGGUGCCGUAACUUCGGGAGAAGGCACGCUGAUAUGUAGGUGAAGCGACUUGCUCGUGGAGCUGAAAUCAGUCGAAGAUACCAGCUGGCUGCAACUGUUUAUUAAAAACACAGCACUGUGCAAACACGAAAGUGGACGUAUACGGUGUGACGCCUGCCCGGUGCCGGAAGGUUAAUUGAUGGGGUUAGCGGCAACGCGAAGCUCUUGAUCGAAGCCCCGGUAAACGGCGGCCGUAACUAUAACGGUCCUAAGGUAGCGAAAUUCCUUGUCGGGUAAGUUCCGACCUGCACGAAUGGCGUAAUGAUGGCCAGGCUGUCUCCACCCGAGACUCAGUGAAAUUGAACUCGCUGUGAAGAUGCAGUGUACCCGCGGCAAGACGGAAAGACCCCGUGAACCUUUACUAUAGCUUGACACUGAACAUUGAGCCUUGAUGUGUAGGAUAGGUGGGAGGCUUUGAAGUGUGGACGCCAGUCUGCAUGGAGCCGACCUUGAAAUACCACCCUUUAAUGUUUGAUGUUCUAACGUUGGCCCCUAAUCGGGGUUGCGGACAGUGUCUGGUGGGUAGUUUGACUGGGGCGGUCUCCUCCUAAAGAGUAACGGAGGAGCACGAAGGUUGGCUAAUCCUGGUCGGACAUCAGGAGGUUAGUGCAAUGGCAUAAGCCAGCUUGACUGCGAGCGUGACGGCGCGAGCAGGUGCGAAAGCAGGUCAUAGUGAUCCGGUGGUUCUGAAUGGAAGGGCCAUCGCUCAACGGAUAAAAGGUACUCCGGGGAUAACAGGCUGAUACCGCCCAAGAGUUCAUAUCGACGGCGGUGUUUGGCACCUCGAUGUCGGCUCAUCACAUCCUGGGGCUGAAGUAGGUCCCAAGGGUAUGGCUGUUCGCCAUUUAAAGUGGUACGCGAGCUGGGUUUAGAACGUCGUGAGACAGUUCGGUCCCUAUCUGCCGUGGGCGCUGGAGAACUGAGGGGGGCUGCUCCUAGUACGAGAGGACCGGAGUGGACGCAUCACUGGUGUUCGGGUUGUCAUGCCAAUGGCACUGCCCGGUAGCUAAAUGCGGAAGAGAUAAGUGCUGAAAGCAUCUAAGCACGAAACUUGCCCCGAGAUGAGUUCUCCCUGAGACUUAGAGUCUCCUGAAGGAAC
rnacentral:rRNA from 1 species